rnacentral:rRNA from 1 species
UACGUAGGGUGAAAGCGUUAAUCGGAAUUACUGGGCGUAAAGUGUGCGCAGGCGGCCGCGCAAGUCGAGUGUGAAAUCCCCGAGCUUAACUUGGGAAUUGCGCUCGAAACUACGUGGCUGGAGUGUGGCAGAGGAAGGUGGAAUUCCACGUGUAGCGGUGAAAUGCGUAGAGAUGUGGAGGAACACCGAUGGCGAAGGCAGCCUUCUGGGCCAACACUGACGCUCAUGCACGAAAUCGUGGGGAGCAAACAGG